UUUUGCUGAUCUUUAGAAGUUUUACGAGUCAUUUGAUGAAGUGUUUGAUAGGAAAUGGAUUGUCUGAGAAAGAUGAGUAUUCAGGUGAGAUUUUGCCUGGAUCUAUGUAGUAUUUUGUUCGAUUUUUAUGUAUUAUGUUCUGUAAUUCUAGAUCAUCGUAGUUUAUUGCAUUUUCUGUUUAACUAUAUUACCUGCAACUUCUUCAGAUUCAUUUACAUCUUGUUGAUAGAGAAUACUGAGUUGUAAUUAUGCAAUUUAAGGCUAAAGGGAGAAACAAUGAUUAAGUAAUGAAGUUAUAUUGUUUGAGUGGUAACGGUGGAGUGAUUAGUUGCUACUAUGUCCUCGGCAGUCGGUACUACUUCAGAUUUAUUUAUAACUUGUUAAUGGAGUAGGUUAGAAGAAUCGUAAGAUUGGGAAGUCCCUAUGUUAACACUACAUAGAUUGGGAAGAAUCUUGUCACUUGUAGAAGAUUAAACUACGUGGCACAUGCUUCUGUCAAAUUUUUCCAAGACCAUUCACUAAAGAAGACAACUGGAAUUUGUUUACCAAUGGUGGGAACUGAAAACUUGUUGCUUGCCAUUAACAUGCCAAUUCAGAUGCGAUUGUCUUCUAAAGAAUGUGCCGAGGCAAUCUACAUUGGAUCUGAAUAUCUGAUGGUAUUGUGAACGUGUUGCUUCAACCUUUACUUAUUUAGAAUCAUAUAUAUAAGUCAUCUAAGAAAAAUGUUAUUUAAGAUUUGCUGAAUAUAAAUAAAUAGAUGUAGAAGAUGUGAAUUAAUGUUCCUAAUGUUGAAUUGUUCAUUUCAAUGUCAAAAUUACACAGUUUUUUCUUACCCUAAUGCAUUUGAAAUUCUUAAUUCUUUUGUUUAAAUUAUACUGGAACCUAAUGCAUUUUGUCUCUUUUGAGCAGUAUUUUUGCUCUAAAAUGUGGUGCUGCCUGAUGAAGCCGUCUGCUGCACAGUGCUUCGAGUAGACCAACUGUUUUAUGGAUUGGUGGUGGUGACUGUUUUAUUAUUUUAUGAAUUAUUUUGUUGUUUUAUGGACUAGACUGUUUUAGUGACUCAAAUAUUUUAUGGACUAUUUUAGUGACUGGGGACUAUUUUAUGGACUAUUUUUAUGUAGAAAGUCUGUGAUAAUCGAUUUAUGGACUAUUUUUAUAAGUUUUGUGUUUGUUUUGUGGACAGGAUUGUUUAUGCAAA
rnacentral:lncRNA from 1 species